AAAUUGAAGAGUUUGAUCAUGGCUCAGAUUGAACGCUGGCGGCAGGCCUAACACAUGCAAGUCGAACGGUAACAGGAAACAGCUUGCUGUUUCGCUGACGAGUGGCGGACGGGUGAGUAAUGUCUGGGAAACUUCCUGAUGGAGGGGGAUAACUACUGGAAACGGUAGCUAAUACCGCAUAAUGUCGCAAGACUAAAGAGGGGGACCUUCGGGCCUCUUGCCAUCGGAUGUGCCCAGAUGGGAUUAGCUAGUAGGUGGGGUAACGGCUCACCUAGGCGACGAUCCCUAGCUGGUCUGAGAGGAUGACCAGCCACACUGGAACUGAGACACGGUCCAGACUCCUACGGGAGGCAGCAGUGGGGAAUAUUGCACAAUGGGCGCAAGCCUGAUGCAGCCAUGCCGCGUGUAUGAAGAAGGCCUUCGGGUUGUAAAGUACUUUCAGCGGGGAGGAAGGGAGUAAAGUUAAUACCUUU
rnacentral:rRNA from 1 species